UAAGUUGUGCUCAAGCUCAGAGAGUGCUCAAAUAAGGAGUGUUGAUAAAGAAAGCAACAAGCGAGACAUAAGACAGCAACAACGAGAAUUGCUAGAGGUGAGUGCAAGAAAUAUUAAGUGUAAGAAUUGUAAGACUGAUGUGGAUCUUUACUUUGCUCUAAUAAAGUUCAAGUUAUGACCAACCAAUUGUGUGGCAUCAACAAUUCUCAACAUAAAAGGUAUCAAAGAAUUACGUCAUCGGGUCUUCCUAGAGGCUCAAAAUUGUUCCAUGUUUUGAAAAGCCUUUCACUGACCUGAUAUUAAUGGAAUGAUAUUCUAUGUAUGAAUAACUUAUUAGAAACCAUAUACAACAUGUGAAACAACCGGGCACACCCAAUAAAAAGAAAAGAGUAUCCACAGGUAGAGCAUUGCAUGUUUUCAAAGUUAAAACUUUCUACAUAAAAAUCAGAACUUAGUACAAUAAAUUGUUACAAAAACGAAAAAAAUGGAUAUUCAUGACUCAUGAACAGAAGUGGAAAUAACACACACCUAAGGAACGUCUAUACCAUUUUCACUAAUCGUACUUAUAACCUCAUUACUAUAGAGAUCACCCAAAUUUGAUGUUUCGUUCUGAGCAGCAGAAAAACUGGCAUCAACAUGACUGAAAUCAUUGAUUUGCUCGUCAAUGUGGAUGGUACAGUUCUCUUCCAGAUCAUUUUGAAUGACAGACUCUUGGAGAUGAAGUGCAUAUUCCAAAUUCCACAGCACAUCAGCCAUUAAUGGCUUAUCUCUGUCUACACCAUCAUCAGCUAAGC
rnacentral:lncRNA from 1 species